CCUACUGGAGGCAGCAGUGGGGAAUAUUGGACAAUGGGGGAAACCCUGAUCCAGCGACGCCGCGUGAGUGAAGAAGUAUUUCGGUACGUAAAGCUCUAUCAGCAGGAAAGAAAAUGACGGUACCUGACUAAGAAGCCCCGGCUAACUACGUGCCAGCAGCCGCGGUAAUACGUAGGGGGCAAGCGUUAUCCGGAAUUACUGGUUGUAAAGGGAGCGUAGACGGUAAUGCAAGUCUGGAGUGAAAGGCGGGGGCCCAACCCCCGGACUGCUCUGGAAACUGUGUAACUGGAGUGCAGGAGAGGCAGGCGGAAUUCCUAGUGUAGCGGUGAAAUGCGUAGAUAUUAGGAGAAACACCAGUGGCGAAGGCGGCCUGCUGGACUGUAACUGACGUUGAGGCUCGAAAGCGUGGGGAGCAAACAGGAUUAGAUACCCCAGUAGUC
rnacentral:rRNA from 1 species